GUGUUUAUAAAGUUAAUGAACUGUUCAACGUCCUCGCGGGAGAAUGAGGUGGGGCUGAUGCGGUCAUCAGUGUAGCGGAGGAGGAGGUGGGGAGUGGUGCUGGUGUAACUGCGGAAGGUUAUCCCAGGAUCGGAGGCUUUACCUAUCUCGUAGCAGAAGUCAGCUCAGCUGCGAUGCUUCCUGAAGUUGAAUAGAACCUCCAGCGAUAAUGAGUAAUAACAGUGAAACUGUUUAAACCAAUACCUUGCUGAUGACAGUACAUUCCGUGUUCUCAUUACCUUCGGCGUGGUGACCAAAAUGGAAAAGAGACUUCAUGGAGUCCAGAAUCAAUACUGAGGUCUCCCAGGGCAACACAGUACACCAGUGUGCCACCAGCUGUACUGGGCCUGAGCUGCCGGUGGGGCAGGACUUAUCCAGGGAUGGUGAUGUCCAAGACGUUGCCAUACUCACCACAUCAUGCCUUACAGAUAACGUCCUGUGGCACAACUUUUCCAAUUUUGACAGUAGCCCCCACAUGUUGGUAAGGAAGUCUUUGUAAGGUUGGUAGGGACAGGUUUGCCAUUUCUGUAUCUGAAUCAAGUGCCUUGGACAAUGUUGGUGGUCCAUUUAUUUUAUUCUCGUUGUACUUUUGCGCAGAGUUUGAAUCCACCCAAUCUCUGGGCCUUUCCUGAGAGAAAUUAGGAGUCACACACGCUCUGCUGGCUCUGGAAUCACAAGCAGGCCACAGCAGGAGGGAUUUUACACCUGCACAAUAGUUUCAUGGUCAUCAUUCCUGCUGCUGUUGACCUCCUCUGCCAAUCGAGCCAUGUCUCCCUGGUAUCAGUAUCCUCCUCAGAUCGCCUAGAUAAGAUUCAAGUAACACAUUAUUUUAUACAAUACAAGCACCUUUGUUUGUCAACAGUGUACUUGUGAAUUUUCUCUUGCCCCCUUUCAUACCUUCCAUAAAAUAAAGCAUAAAUGAGAUAUUUCUUUCUUUCCCCGUUCCAUCACAGCUUGGUAUGGCAACUGCCCUGCCCAAGACCGCAAGAGAGAGUGGUGGACACCACCCAGUCCGUCAGGCAAACCAGCCUUAUUCCAUUGACUUCGUGUACACUUCCCGCUGCUUCAGGUAAGCAGCCAACAUUAGCAAAGACCCCUCUUACCCCAGUUAUACUCUCUUCCAGCCUCUUCCGAUAGACAGAGGGUACAAAAGAUUGAAAACACUUACCAACACAUUAAAGAACAGCGUCUUCUCCACUGUUAUCAGACCUAUGAACAGACCUCUGAUGCUUAGAGCUGAUAUUUCUUUGAACCUUCCUUGUGGCUGUAACACUAUGUUCUCUUCUGUUACCCUGGCAUACAUGUGUGAGGUAUAAUUGCCUGGACAGCAUACAAAACAAUACUUUUCACUGUUUCUCAGCAUGUGUGACAAUAA